UAAUACGGAGGGUGCAAGCGUUAAUCGGAAUCACUGGGCGUAAAGCGCGCGUAGGCGGUCUUUUAAGUCGGACGUGAAAGCCCUCGGCUCAACCGGGGAAUUGCGUUCGAAACUGGGAGACUUGAGUCCUGGAGAGGGUGGCGGAAUUCCGGGUGUAGGAGUGAAAUCCGUAGAUAUCCGGAGGAACACCGGUGGCGAAGGCGGCCACCUGGACAGGUACUGACGCUGAGGCGCGAAAGCGUGGGGAGCAAACAGGAUUAGAUACCCUGGUAGUCCACGCUGUAAACGAUGGAUGCUAGGUGUCGGGGAGCGAUCUUCGGUGCCGCAGUUAACGCAUUAAGCAUCCCGCCUGGGGAGUACGGUCGCAAGGCUGAAACUCAAAUGAAUUGACGG
rnacentral:rRNA from 1 species